GGCACUAUAGUGUAGUGGUUUAUCACUUGGGAUUUUGAACGCUGAGCGUUUACUGGCUUCCCCUCGAGUCGGUGAGCGUUCGGCCGAUCUUCCCAUAACCCAGGUUCGAACCCUGGUAGUGCCU